AGUUCUAUGGUUUUAUGUGGAAUGGAUCCUGCCCUAUGAAAUUUUAAAUGGCCGCAGUACUUUAACUGUGCUAAGGUAGCAUAAUAAUUUGUCUUUUAAUUGGAGUCUGGAAUGAAAGGAAGAAUGGGUAAUAACUGUUUCUUAAAGAUUUUUAAGAAUUUUCUCAAAAGGUGAAAAUUCCUUUAGUGUUCAAAUAGACGAGAAGACCCUAGGAGUUACUGUUUUGUUGGGGCGACAUUUUAGAUUUAACCUAAAAUAUUAAUAUAACAUUUAUUUAAAUAAAAAUUUAACUACCCUAGGGAUAACAGCAUAAUUCCGUUAAGGUGAUUGUGACCUCGAUGUUGGACUAAG
rnacentral:rRNA from 1 species